rfam:Ancylostoma duodenale strain Zhejiang A_duodenale-1.0_Cont14416.1, whole genome shotgun sequence.
AAUCACUCCUGAACAUGUAUUUAAAUUGGAGCAAUACAGAGAAGAUUAGCAUGGCCCCUGGGAAAGGAUGACACGCAACUUAUACACUGUUUUGCGAUUUUU